rnacentral:rRNA from 1 species
AUACGGAGGGUGCAAGCGUUAUUCGGAAUCACUGGGCGUAAAGGACGCGUAGGCGGGUUGGCAAGUCAGAUGUGAAAUCCUACAGCUUAACUGUAGAACUGCAUUUGAAACUGCUAACCUAGAGUAUGGGAGGGGGAGAUGGAAUUAGUGGUGUAGGGGUAAAAUCCGUAGAUAUCACUAGGAAUACCGAAGGCGAAGGCGAUCUCCUGGAACAUAACUGACGCUAAGGCGUGAAAGCGUGGGGAGCAAACAGGAUUAGAAACCCUAGUAGUCC